CCUGCCAAGAAGACCGGCUAACUACGUGCCAGCAGCCGCGGAAUACGUAGGUGCGAGCGUAGUCGGAAUUACUGGGCGUAAAGGUGCGCAGGCGGCCUGUAGACCGAGUGAAUCCCCGGGCUCACCUGGAUUGCGCUGUGACUGCAGGGAUAGAGUACGGAAAGGGGAUGGAAUUCCUGGUGUACAGUGAAAUGCGUAAAGAUCGGGAGGAACACCGAUGGCGAAGGCGCCCCCUGGGCCUGUACUGACGCUCAUGCACGAAAGCGGGGGGAACAAACAGGAUUAAAUC
rnacentral:rRNA from 1 species